GAAAGGAUUUAGCAAGAAAGAAAAUACUUGCUGAAAAUGGACUACAAUAGGCAGAGAGAAAUGUACCGACACUCUAAGUAUGCCGUUAUACUUUGAAUUCCAGGAAAACAUUUUGCAAAUAUAUUCCAAUGAUGUUUCCAUGAAUUCAUUGAAGAAUUUCCCUGAGAAGAAAGCCACUCAAGAGGGAAGUGUUCCCAAGAAAAAGCCACUGAGAGGGGACUGUCAUGCAGAUUGAAAAUCCAAAGAUAAAGAAUCACAUGGGUCUUGCUAAAAGAUGCUUUGAAAGACAAAGAAGCAUGGUAUAAACACACUGCUGAGGCCUGGCUCUACCUCAUCAGCUCCAUACGAGGAUUCCACAGAGGAGCUCGAAAUGAACAGUCUGAAAGAUGUCUUUCAAGCCUUCUCUCCACAUCGGUGGGCUAUACAGAAUCUAAGAAUAAGGUUGCGUGGUUCUUAAUUAUAUCUGCAGAAUUUCAAGGCCAAAUAUUUCCUUCAAAGCCAGGGGCCACGUUCUGUACAAAUUAUCUCUCAUAUUUGCUGCUGUUCCUUUUGCUCAGAUCAUAUGAGCCUUAUGAAUAUAGGCAAGAGAUUUCUUACACUAUCAAAAGUGUAACAAGUCACACAAAGCAUUUCUGAGAU
rnacentral:lncRNA from 1 species